rnacentral:tRNA from 1 species
GUCCAGAUGAGCAUCAGUGGUUUGGUGUGCGGGCUUCAAACCCAUAGCUGACGAGAGUCAGAAUGGUUCGAUUCCACCUUCUGGGCG